GGUUCCCUUCCUGGAGUAUUACAGUGGCUACAGUAUCUCUGAGCUUCACCCCUUGAUCAGACAGCUGAACAAACUGCUGACUUUCAGUUCUUAUGAUAGUCUCAAGGCUGUGUAUUACAAGUAUUCUCACCCGGUCUUCUUUGAAGUCACCAAAAUCCCCACCUUGGAUGUGUUGAAGCUGGAGGAGAUUUUGAACUACUGAUUGUGAGGCCAAGGGCCUGGUACUCUAGCAGCAGCCACAGGACUAGGCAUGCAUGUUAAUAGGGUAUAUUUAUUCUGUGUUUGAAUUUGUCUUUUGAUUGCUUUUAUUCAUUUUUCCUCUCUUUGUCUUUUCCCAAACUGAUAUGUUAUAAAUAUUUAUGUUGUUUGUUUUUAUGAAAGGAAAAAAUAUUGUCAUAUUUGACUACAAAUUUAAUAAAAAAUUAAUGGUUAUUGUUAAAA